UACGUAGGGUGCAAGCGUUAAUCGGAAUUACUGGGCGUAAAGCGUGCGCAGGCGGCUUUGCAAGACAGAUGUGAAAUCCCCGGGCUUAACCUGGGAACUGCAUUUGUGACUGCAUGGCUAGAGUGCGGCAGAGGGGGAUGGAAUUCCGCGUGUAGCAGUGAAAUGCGUAGAUAUGCGGAGGAACACCGAUGGCGAAGGCAAGCCCCUGGGCCUGCACUGACGCUCAUGCACGAAGGCGUGGGGAGCAAACAGG
rnacentral:rRNA from 1 species